UACGUAGGGGGCAAGCGUUGUCCGGAAUCAUUGGGCGUAAAGAGCGUGUAGGCGGUCCGGUAAGUCGGCUGUGAAAGUCCAGGGCUCAACCCUGGGAUGCCGGUCGAUACUGCCGGACUAGAGUUCGGAAGAGGCGAGUGGAAUUCCCGGUGUAGCGGUGAAAUGCGCAGAUAUCGGGAGGAACACCUAUGACGAAGGCAGCUCGCUGGGACGUUACUGACGCUGAGACGCGAAAGCGUGGGGAGCAAAACAGG
rnacentral:rRNA from 1 species